UGAGGGANGAAGGCCUUUGGGUUGUAAACCUCUUUUGUUAGGGAAGAUAAUGACUGUACCCUACCAAUAAGGUCCGGCUA
rnacentral:rRNA from 1 species